AGCUUUGCGCAGUGGCAGUAUCGUAGCCAAUGAGGUUUAUCCGAGGCGCGAUUAUUGCUAAUAGAAAGGACUCUGGAGUGAUGGUGGCUCUCAGCUUUCUCACAUGCUGACUAAAGGAUUUUUGCCAUGGCUCAACAGCU
rfam:Tupaia chinensis contig19300, whole genome shotgun sequence.